AUGUCUGCUGUAGCUGCAACGAGGACGCUUCUUCUCGUUGGUGACCGCGUUUCUUGUAGGAAAUUUCACUCUUUUUCGCGUCUAGGGUUAUUAUACGACAGAGUUCGUUUUCUGAGUCAUGUUCGCAAUCAAAAGGAGGCAGAGCCUCUCACUCUUGCAAGUUUUGGUUUGAGGAGUGAGAUUUCAAAAACCGAUGGAAAUGAGAUAAGCAUACAGAAGCAAGGGGUUUCCACAAUUGAGGUCCCCAAAAGAAGAGAAAAGAAAGUAGCUUCUAAAGUGAUUCAUGGAGUUAAGAAGGGGAAAAUUGAUCUGCAAGGAUUAGCUCCAUUUGCUGCGAAAUCGUUCUCAGAGCUCGGCCUUCCUACUCUCAUGGUGGAGAGGUUAGAGAAGGAAGGCUAUAAGGUUCCAACAGAUGUUCAGGCUGCAGCAAUUCCCAGCAUUCUCAAUGAUCAUGAUGUGGUGAUCCAGUCUUACACAGGAUCGGGUAAAACACUAGCCUAUCUCCUGCCGAUACUGUCGGAAUUGGGACCUUUUAAGGAGAAUGCGGAAGCUAGGACGAAGAUGGGUAUAGAGGCGGUGGUUGUGGCGCCAUCGAGAGAGCUUGGAAUGCAGAUUGUGAGGGAAUUCGAGAGGGUUCUCGGACCUGUGGAUAAGAGAUUGGUUCAACAGCUCGUUGGAGGUGCAAACAGGUCACGGCAAGAAGAGGCCCUCAAGAAGAACAAGCCUAUGAUAGUUGUGGGGACGCCGGGGCGAAUUGCUGAAAUAAGUGCAGCUGGGAAGCUUCACACACAUGGCUGCCGGUAUUUGGUUUUAGACGAGGUGGACGAACUUCUUGCCUUCAAUUUUAGGGAGAGCAUGCAUCGUAUACUCGAGCAUGUUGGUAGGAGAUCCAGUGCGGGUCAAAAUGUUUCAAAUGGGACUAAAGCUAGACGGUUAGAAAGGCAAAUGAUAAUGGUGUCUGCCACGGUGCCAUUUUCGGUGAUCCGAGCUGCUAGAAGUUGGGGUAACAAUCCACUUCUUGUCCAAGACAAACGCGUAAUCCCUCUCGAAUCAAUCCCGGCUCCAGGAGCUAUUAAGCCAUCAGAAUCUCCUGAUUCAAGUUCGAGCAACGAGGUUCAGAGUCAUUCUCCGGUUCAGAGCCUACCACCAUCAUUGACGCACUAUUAUUCUGUUACGAGGAUACAACACAAAGUCGACACAUUGAGGAGAUGCAUACAUGCUUUAGAUGCAAAAUGUGUGAUAGCAUUUAUGAACCACACCAAACAGCUAAAAGAUGCCGUCUUCAAGUUAGAGGCUCGUGGGAUGAAAGCUGCUGAGCUACACGGGGAUCUUAACAAACUCGCAAGAUCAACCAUCUUGAAAAGGUUCAAGAAUGGGGAUGUGAGGGUGCUGUUGACCAACGAACUUUCAGCAAGAGGAUUAGACAUACCGGAAUGUGAUCUUGUGGUUAAUCUAGAGCUGCCCACUGACUCGAUUCAUUAUGCACACCGGGCUGGCCGAACAGGGAGACUUGGCAGAAUAGGGACUGUGGUCACAAUAUGUGAGGAGCCGGAAGUUUUUGUGGUCAAGAAGAUGCAGAAGCAGCUCGGGGUUGUUAUGCAAGCUUGCGAGUUUGCAGAGGGAAAACUUGUCGUCGAGAAAGAUGAAAAAAAUGUAGAAGCCUCUAGCCUGAUAUGAGUGCAGUAGCUGCGAUAACUAGGAAUAAAACAAACGACAUGCAUACUGAGAUCGUAGCUGCCUUCUUGAGUUGUUCCAUGUUAUUCAUCGCUUGGAUUGCCGGCACAGCUACAGACGACGCUGAAACAAAAACUGUUGCCUUGUUGUUUCCUAUGCUUGGAAUUAGCCGGUGAAACUGCAGCUAAGGAAAUAGCUGAGGCAGAGGACAGAAACAGAGCCAGAAACCGGAGGAGGAGAUUGGCCAUCUGAAGCGAAGGCAGCCGGGGAUUCCAUCUGGUGGUGGAGGCAACCGAAAAUGAGAACGGAGAUGGAGUUGCCAAUGGCGGGGCUGGUGAAGGAGUGGCUGUUGACAUUUGACAUGUUCAGACAGGUCACAGCUUCCCUGUCCUAUACAUAUAUGUUUAUAUCUUGCUUGAUCAAGUUAUCUGUUAGUUGUGUGUAUAUAUAUAUAGUAUGACAAUGACUUUUUAUCUUAAACUAUGGAUUUAACUUACCAAAUAUGCCAAAGUUGGAAUAUAGACAGUAAGGCAUGUGCG